rnacentral:lncRNA from 1 species
GGGGCCUUCCGGUCUUCGGAGGCUCUGAGUGCCGGUUACGUAACGGCGGCUCCGAGCGCCUGGGGUCCUCCCAGAGCUCCUGGGCUCGAGCUCUUUCCAUGAGCACCUCGGGCCUUCUCGUGGCUACCUCUGUGCUUCCCUGAGACCUGAUUUGUGAGCCCUUUUUGCUGGUUUUCGCCAGAGGUUUUUUACCAAAUCAAAAUUUCAACCAUUGACUAACACAGGGGUUGAAGGAAGAGGACGGGGAAGUUCAGUGAUGGAUGGGAACAACAGUCUUAGAUGAUAGGGAUAAUUAAGAGGGCAUAGUUGGGGACUUGUGGUUAUUUUGCACAGCUCUCUACUCUCAGUCCAAUGUUUGGAAAUGAGGAUGCUCCACGUGCUACCCUAAAGAACCAUUUAUAGUCUUGCUCUUUCACCCAGGCCGGACUGCCAUGGCGCUAUCU